UUAUCUUUUAAAUAAAGAUCCCCUUAAGUUAGAAUUUUCAUAACUUACAGCCUGCGAUUUGACUAACUAGCCAAUAACAAUCUGCCACAUGGAUAAAAAAGAAAGAAAGCAUAACUGGUUGAAACGGUUGCAGAUCGGGUUGACUGAAAAAGUCAAGCCAAAUGAUUGACUGUUGCAGCCGGUUUGCAAUCGAUUAAACGACUUCGUUUCACAAUUGAAUCCCUCACCUCUUAAUAUAAAAAAAAACAUUGACGAAGAGAAGCAUCCUACUGAAAGUCCACCACCAAGAGAAGCCGAAGCUGCAUCUCCUCCAACGACCAUCCUACUCAAAAUCCACCAUCGAAUAGGGGUGGGCAAAAUCGGGUUCGGGUCGGGUUCGGAUCAACCCGAUCGGAUUUCGGGUUGGUCGGGUUGGAUAAAAAUCGAUCCGAACUCCACCCGAACUUAUAACCCGAUCCGAAUUUAAUUCGAAUCGGAUCGGAUCGGGUUAAAAAGUCGGGUGGAGUUCGGAUCGGAUCGGAUUCGGGUUAAUUCGGGUUCGGAUUAAAUUCGGGUUAUUCGGAUGAAUUCGAGUUAAUUUGGGUCGGGUGUAAUCGGAUCGGAUUGGGGUUAAAUCGGGUUCGGAUUAAAUUCGGGUUAUUCGGAUCAAUUCGGGUUAUGAUUAAUUUGGCGCAAUUGGGUUAUUCGGACCCUUGGUUUGCAUUGAUCGUUACCCAGUUCAUAUUCCUGAAAUUGUCAAGCUCUAGAAAGCCCUUAAUUAGCCUCCUCGUAGAGGUGGCAAAAAUACCCGCCCGGUCCGGACCCGGACCAUACCCGGGCGUUGCGGGCCGGGUAAUACCCGGCCCGGGUAUGAAGCCGGGUCGGUCUUGGGAAUCACAUGAUAAACCCGGAACCCGGAUUUUAUUAAAAAAAAUUAUAAAAUAUAUAUUAUUUUAAAUAUUUUAUAUUUAUUUGACUUAUUUAUUAUACAUAUAUAAAGUUUUAAACACUUAAAGUUUAUAUUUUCGUGUCAAAUUUUAUUGAAAUAAAUUUAAAACUUAUAAAAUUACCAAAAAAUAAAAAAUAUAUACACAUAAAAUAUUAAAAAAUAUAAAAUCCGGGUACCCGGAUUAAAACCCGGCCCGGACCCGGACCCGGACCGGUUGCAUCCGGGCAGGGUCCGGUCAUGGCAAUACCCGGACCCGGCCCGGGGUUUUGCCAUCUCUACCUCCUCGGUUUCAUUGCUAUGGGUUGCUACAGCCUACAGUUAUUAGGAAUCAUCUCUUGCCUAUAUUUGAUCUGGGAUUUGCAUUUGCUGCUGCUGCUGUGUUGUGAAAUGUGAACUUAGGCAAAAGCCUUGAUUACUUGCACAUUUUUAAUUUUUCUUUGUCAAAAACUCAAAAUUAAGCAUCUGCAUACUUUGUGA
rnacentral:lncRNA from 1 species